ACAAUUUCUUGGCAGGGGAGAGAUAACAUGAACAUGAAGGUUUUCCCAGGGCAAGGUUUACCUAUUGUAUUCCAGCUGUGCUGACCCCUGCAAUUUCCCCAGAAUCUGGGAAACUCAAUUGCAUAAUUUGGAGGUAGAGGAACUGUGUUCAUGCUCUCCCCUA